rnacentral:rRNA from 1 species
UACGGAGGGGGCAAGCGUUGUUCGGAAUUACUGGGCGUAAAGGGCGCGUAGGCGGCCGCCUAAGUCAGACGUGAAAUCCCUCGGCUCAACCGGGGAACUGCGUCUGAUACUGGGUGGCUUGAAUCCGGGAGAGGGAUGCGGAAUUCCCGGUGUAGCGGUGAAAUGCGCAGAUAUCGGGAGGAACACCGGUGGCGAAGGCGGCGACCUGGGUCGAUACUGACGCUGAUGCGCGAAAGCGUGGGGAGCAAACGGG